rnacentral:lncRNA from 1 species
AUCCGAACAGAUCGAGAAAGAAGAAAGUUAUUGCUGGACAAGAUAAUUAUAUGAUAAGAUCUUGUAAUUUUUUAAUUUGUGAUUCUACUAUCUGGGUAUUAGAUACCGAAAGUUCUUUUAAUAUUUGUAAUUCGUUGUAGGGUCUGCAGGUCAGUAGGAUAUUUGAAGAAGACGAAUGGUUCUUUAAUGUUGGAAAUGGAAGAUCAGUUUCAGUUCUAG